AACUACAUCGUUAGCCAGUUCGAGACGACCAGAGGAUCCAGAACCUACGAGUGAUCUCCGACCAUUUUAGGGUAAGCAGCUUUCAUUUUCCGGUGUUUUCUGGUUGCGCUUCAGCUCUGUUACUGUUUUUUAUGCAACUCGUGUUGUGGAUUCUCUGUUACAAGUAUCUUGCUUUCAUUUUCCGGUGUUUCACUUAUUACUGAAGCAGAGAGAGCUUCGUUGAUCGAAUUUCCUGCUACUUGAGGGGUUUCAGUUAGGAUCCGUGAUUGGAUAGAUUGAAGGAAAAUAUCAUCCAUUCUUUUUUCGGUGAGAAAUAUGAGAUCAGAUCGAACGGCUUUGUAUAUGUUGAAUUCUGGUUAGAGGAUCUCGAAGUGAUGUUAGACUGGAGCACCAGUGAGCUUGAAGGCAUUGUUUGGGAUGAGUUUAGUGGGAAUGAUGAUCAUAUAGUACCUCAUCCUGGUGGAGAAGAAGUAGAUGAUUGCCAUAAAAGGCCUCAAUGUGAAGUCUCAUAUCCAUUUACAAGCAAUUCAAAUGGCCAAUAUGCUGCUAAAGAUACCCUACAUAGAAAAGAUGAAACAAGUUUUGCAACUGUGACGGACCAGAAGGCUCCAAUGCUUAAAAAGGAUUCAUGGUCAUGCACUACUGAUGGAGUUUUCCCAGCCUCAUGUGAUCCCGCCUCCAUUAAGGAAUUUCCAGGUUUAACUGCCGAUGAUACUAAGAUAACUGGUAACUGCUUCAGUAGUAACUGCGUAGAUUCUACUGGCAAUGAGUUUUGUGUGGAUGACCCAAUUCUUGGUUAUAAAAGUGCUGCAAUAGGCAGCAGCUUGUGCAACUUUCCACUUGGGGAUAUUUCUUCAACAGGCAGUGACCUUGAAUUUUUUGCAAAUGAGCAUGAGGACAAAGAUAGUGGUGAUCUUCUGUAUUAUGGGUGGCCUGAUAUUGGCAAUUUUGAGGAUAUCGACAGAAUGUUUAGAAGCUGCGAUUCCACAUUCGGACAGGGGAAUACUGGUCAUGAUGAUGAAUUUUCAUGUUUUUCUUCUUCCUCUCAUGCCAUUGAUGGUUCUGAAGAUGCCUUGAAAUCAGGCCUUAAAUCUCCUUCAUCAGAUUCAAAUGAGUUGAGAAGUAUAUCAAUACGUCAUGACCCUGAUGAUAAAUUUAUGGUUGACACUAUAACUCCUUUGAUCAAUGAUUCUGAGGAAAAUAGUGUCCUCAAUGACUAUAAGAUCGAUUCUCGGGCACUAGAUGCUGGUGAACCUGCUACUUUGGAUCAAUCAUCAUAUGUCAGUUGGUCUGAUGCAAAUGCUCAAAAUAGAGGGCAAUCUACGUCCAUUGAACAGAUCAAUUUGCAAAAUCAUCAGUUGAAGCACCACAAUCAAUCUGAAGGAAAGAGAAAAAAUCAAUCCUCAGAAUUCAAUGGUGAUGGUCCUUUCCAUGGCCCUGGUCCUUUUCAGCAAUUUGCAAACUUGAAGCUUCCCUCAUCCCUGCAUGUAUUUCCUUCUCUAGACAUUCCACAACAACAGCAGAAUUUAAGACCUAAUUUCUCCAAUUCGCACACACAAUUGCCUUGUGUGCGACCAAAGUACAAAAAACCUUCACAUCCAGUUCCUGUUACACCAACAUCCAGUAUCAAGACAGAAAACAAUGGUCGUCCGUCGGUUUCUUCGAAAGCUUCUUCUUUUGUGUUGAAUCAUGCUCAGCCCAUGGAAAAGUCUCCUGAUUCUUCACCCAAAGCUUCUGCUAUGAAAUCGGAGAAAAGAAUGAGAAAACCUUCUCAACAGAAGCAGCUACAUGCCAAACUAAAUUAUGAUCCCCAACAGGACGACAAAGGAGUGAGGGCUGCAUUUACAAAUCAAGUUACCAACCAAAAAUUCCCAGCUCAAAUUCGAGAUGAAGUUGGAGCUCAUAGAGAAUUUGAGGGAGCAGGCAUUGAACUUCCAACAGAGGAUUCUUCAACUGUGCAGCAAAGCUCUUGCAUGAGCUAUGCACUAUCAGAUGUAUCACUAGAAGAAACUAGUUUUGGGCAGCUUCAAUACAUCAUGGAACAGCUGGAUAUUAGGACGAAGCUGUGUAUAAGAGAUAGUCUCUACCGCUUGGCUAGGAGUGCUGAACAAAGACAUAAUAUUGGAAGUUUGAAUGGUUGCAGCAGAAACUAUAGUGUUGAAACUGGAGUAUUGAAGACCGAAGAAUCAAAUAAAUGCACACAAAUUGUGGAUAUGGAAACUGACACGAAUCCCAUAGAUCGGUCGAUAGCACAUUUACUUUUCCACAGGCCCUCAGAAGUUUCGGCCAUUAAUGAUGUUUUAUCCCAAGAGUCACAUGCUAUGCUUCAGGGGUCUAUUUCAAUUCAACCUGCGAUGACAGAGAAACUGGUUUCCUCCAAAGAAAUUGCUGGUGGUGCUGAAACAGAGUUGUGUACUGAUCAGUAGGGAGGAGAUUGUGAGCUUCAGCUGCAACUCAAAUCUACAGUUCCAUGUAUUUCGCAUUUCUGGGUGUUAUGUAUAAAUAGUUUCAUGAAGAGGAACCAGCAAACAUGUCAGAAACUCCUUGUCCUUGGCUAGAAAGAGGGCCACAACUAAAGUUAACGAGGACAGCCCAAGCUUUAUCAGUAGCAGCUGCCAUACUGCAGUCAAAUCAUUGGCAAAAACAAACGGAAAAGAAAAACCAUUUGAAUUUGUUAAUUGAACAAUUGUUUUGGAAGAAGGGAGAAAACCACUGCAUCAAGGAACUCUGCAAGGAAGUUUAGAAGUAUAUUUGAUAGAGUAAAUUGGAAUGAAUACUUUAGAUGGCAAUUAAUGCUAGUUUAGAUUAAGGGACCGUUUCUUCUUCUAAUAUGUACGGUAUCAAUUCAUCGGUUCUUCUUUUCUCUCCCUCCUUUUUUUUUUUAACUCCUUAAACAAGGGGUUUCCUUUUUGACUCCAUUUGGUUGCAAGUAAAGGGCAGAUAAAGGAAUUGAGAUUGAAAACAAUUAAAAGGAAACUUUUGUUAUCACUA